rnacentral:rRNA from 1 species
AUAAUCGACCAUAGGACAUGGAACACAGGGCUUCCUGUUUACUCAGCCGUACUUAAGCCAUGUGCCGGCCGGUUAGUAGUUGGGUAGCUGACUAUUAGCGAAUACUAGCUAUUAAUUGUU